CCUACGGGUGGCAGCAGUGGGGAAUAUUGGACAAUGGGGGCAACCCUGAUCCAGCCAUGUCGCGUGUGUGAAGAAGGCCCUCGGGUUGUAAAGCACUUUCAGUGAGGAAGAACGCCUGGUGGUUAAUACCCAUCAGGAAAGACAUCACUCACAGAAGAAGCACCGGCUAACUCCGUGCCAGCAGCCGCGGUAAUACGGAGGGUGCGAGCGUUAAUCGGAAUUACUGGGCGUAAAGCGCGCGUAGGUGGCUUGAUAAGCCGGUUGUGAAAGCCCCGGGCUCAACCUGGGAACGGCAUCCGGAACUGUCAAGCUAGAGUGCAGGAGAGGAAGGUAGAAUUCCCGGUGUAGCGGUGAAAUGCGUAGAGAUCGGGAGGAAUACCAGUGGCGAAGGCGGCCUUCUGGACUGACACUGACACUGAGGUGCGAAAGCGUGGGUAGCAAACAGGAUUAGAUACCCGUGUAGUC
rnacentral:rRNA from 1 species